GGGAAGGUAGCUCAGUGGUAGAGUGCUUGCCUCGCAUGCAAGAGGCCCUGGGUUCGAUUCCUCAGCACCA
rnacentral:tRNA from 1 species